rnacentral:tRNA from 1 species
GCGGGUGUAGCUCAGUUGGUAGAGCAUCAGCUUCCCAAGCUGAGGGUCGCGGGUUCGACCCCCGUCACCCGCUCCA